GAUCGACGAGUGGACGACGGACAUUUUAUUGCUUCUCGAUGUCGGCUGGGAAUGUCUCCAAUUCUAUAUCGCUAUUUCUUUUUUUCUGGUUCCGAGUAUAGUAUUUUACAAGUUUAUACGAACGUGCAACAAUUUGAGGAUUUACACGUCAGCUCCGGAGCAGCACGACGUUGACGACGUCCGAGGACCACCACAACCGAUGACCACUCUCAAUCACGACGACGACCAACCCCCCGCAAACG